UUCCCCAGUGCUGUUGCCGGGUAAAUGUUGGGCGUUUCACGGUGUGCAGGGCACGCUCCUGAUCUCCCUCUCUCACCCCAUCACCGUGAGUCACGUGACCCUGGACCACCUCCCCCGAUACAACUCUCCCACCGGACGCAUCGACUCCGCCCCCCGAGACCUCCAGGUCUACGGCAUGAGAGAGGAGUCAGAGGAAGGCUCUCUGCUCGGGACGUUCACCUACGAUGAGAACGGAGAAUCUACGCAGACGUUCAAACUGCCCAUCUCCAGUGUUGUCUACAGACUGGUGGAGUUACGUGUUCUCAGUAAUUGGGGUCACGUUGACUACACGUGUCUUUAUCGUUUCCGUGUUCACGGGCAGAUUUCCUCGUCGUGAGACAACACAGCAGGAAGUACAUCUCGGGUGUGCCAUGUUUUAAAAAACAAUAAUAAAUGAAGUAUGGAGAGGUGCGUUCAGGACCAAAUGCUACUGAGAAGAUGUCUAGUGUUGCGUUAGAGAGUGUGUUUUAAUGAUCACAGAAAUCAUAGGAAGGAAUUCAACAAAUGAAGAGUGUACAUAGUGCUUCUAAAAACCAAAGAUCUACCUGCUGAAACCAUGUAGGAGCAUAUCGUUCUGGAAACAGUAUGCUUGUGAGAGUGCCACAGAAUCAUUUUAUAACGUUUGUUUUUAAUAUUAAUUAUUACUAUGUAUCAGCUAUAGAGAGGUGCAGGGAUGUCGUAUUCCCAUGUUGGUCCCUGAAGGCAGCAUCUCCUGGUCCAAUGGGAUUCCUCCAUGUGAUUUUGGAUUAUUGCAGAAAAUAAUCUCUGUGUCAAACAAAUGUUUACGAUACUUACACGUUUUGUUUCUGAAGUAAAUUGCUAAUGCUAAAGGCGGCUAACGUAGAGCUAUAAAGGAACAACAGCACGGUCACAUGACUUCACGU